rnacentral:misc_RNA from 1 species
UGGCUCUGGCAUCGAUGAAGAACGCAGCAAAAUGCGAUAAGUAAUGUGAAUUGCAGAACUCAGUGAAUCAUCGAAUCUUUGAACGCACAUUGCGCCUCCCGGCAUUCCGGAAGGCAUGCCCGUCCGAGCGUCAUUUCACCACUCAAGCCCCGGCUUGGUAUUGGGCGCCGCGGCCUCCCCCGCGCGCCCCGAAUCUCUGCCUCCGUCUGCCUGCCACCGAGCGUCGUGGAUCUUCGCCCGCUCCGGCGUGCGGCAGUCGGCCGGCCCGUCAUGGAUAAUGGUGCGUCGCCCCCGGGCGCGCACUCCUCAAGGUUGACCUCGGAUCGGGUAGGGUUACCCGCUGA